rnacentral:misc_RNA from 1 species
AAUUCUCAACCAUUCAGCUUUUUCGGAGGCUUGUCUGGCUUGGAUGUGAGGGUUGCGGGCUGCUUCACGGCGGUCGGCUCCCUUUAAAUACAUUAGCUGGGGAAUAGUACAUGGUUCAAGUGCUUCGAUGCUUGAAGGUCUCCUGGUGUGAUAAUUAUCUACGCCGUUGACUUAGUCGUUGCUUGUAUUGGCCGUAGAAUUUCUCUGCUUCUAACUGUCUCGCAAGGGACUAGUCCGCUCUAGGGCUAUAAUGACUA